rnacentral:lncRNA from 1 species
GGGAACUCUGACCUUGCGGAGGAAACUUGUUUCCCUUUUUUUCUUCCCGCCGACUUUCACUCGAUAAAACCCUGCUUUAUUCACCCUUUAAACCUUCUCCAAACCUAAAUUUUCCUGGCCUUGGGACGGACAAGAACCCAGUCUUCAGAUGAAGGAAGGAAAAGUCCUGCAACAUUCUUGGCGUGCAACGUUGGGGCUCUUGAAGAGCUCCAGAAUUGGGAUUCUAUUUUCAAGGAAUGUCCUAGACAACAUGGCAUUAUUAAUUGAAAAGGAAAUAUAUUCCAGAAAUCUAUUCUGUUACCAGCUGUAUCAGAAUUCCACAGUGCAUCUGGUUCUUGGGCAAGUCACUGAAACGUGGGUCAAAUGUUGAAAGCUACUGUACUGUGAUGUGAAAAUAAAGGACAGUUAUAACAAAAUACUGCAAACUCAGUGGCUGAAAACAUCAGAAAUUUAUCAUCUCACAUGUCUGGAAGCUAGAAAUUUGAAAUCCAGGUGCUGUCAAAUCCAUGCUUCCUCUGAAACCUGUAGGGGAACAUCCUUCCUUGCCAGCCGUCUCUGGUGCCCUUUGUCUCAUAGGUACAUCAUUCCAAUCCUCCCCUUUUGCAUUGUAUUCUCCCUGUGUCUCUCUGUCUCGGUGCCCAAAUUUCUCCUUUUAUAAGGCUACCAAUCAUAUCGAAUUACCCUAAUGACCUCAUUUUAACUUGAGUACCUCUGUAAAGGCUCUGUUACCAA